UAUUGGACAAUGGGGGCAACCCUGAUCCAGCCAUGCCGCGUGAGUGAAGAAGGCCCUCGGGUUGUAAAGCUCUUUUGUCCGGAAAGAAAAGCCCCUGGUUAAUACCCGGGUGUUCUGACGGUACCGGAAGAAUAAGCACCGGCUAACUUCGUGCCAGCAGCCGCGGUAAUACGAAGGGUGCAAGCGUUACUCGGAAUUACUGGGCGUAAAGCGUGCGUAGGUGGUUGUUUAAGUCUGAUGUGAAAGCCCUGGGCUCAACCUGGGAAUGGCAUUGGAAACUGGGCAGCUAGAGUGCGGUAGAGGGUAGUGGAAUUCCCGGUGUAGCAGUGAAAUGCGUAGAGAUCGGGAGGAACAUCUGUGGCGAAGGCGACUGCCUGGACCAGCACUGACACUGAGGCACGAAAGCGUGGGGAGCAAACAG
rnacentral:rRNA from 1 species